GACGAACGCUGGCGGCGUGCCUAAUACAUGCAAGUCGAGCGGAUCAUUGCCUUCGGGGAAUGGUUAGCGGCGGACGGGUGAGUAACACGUAGGCAACCUGCCUGCAAGACCGGGAUAACUAUCGGAAACGAUAGCUAAGACCGGAUAGCUGGUUUUCCCGCAUGGGAGAAUCAUGAAACACGGGGCAACCUGUGACUUGCAGAUGGGCCUGCGGCGCAUUAGCUAGUUGGUGAGGUAACGGCUCACCAAGGCGACGAUGCGUAGCCGACCUGAGAGGGUGAACGGCCACACUGGGACUGAGACACGGCCCAGACUCCUACGGGAGGCAGCAGUAGGGAAUCUUCCGCAAUGGACGCAAGUCUGACGGAGCAACGCCGCGUGAGUGAUGAAGGUCUUCGGAUCGUAAAGCUCUGUUGCCCUAGACGAACAGCAAGGAGAGUAACUGCUCCUUGUGUGACGGUAUAGGAGAAGAAAGCCCCGGCUAACUACGUGCCAGCCGCCGCAGUAACAC
rnacentral:rRNA from 1 species